UUAAGUUCAGCGGGUAGUCUCACCCGAUUUGAGGUCAAGGUUUGUAAAAGGUCUUUGUCUCCAAAGACAGUUGGAAAGCGGGUUCCGAGCUGACACGACGUAGAAGAAAUGCUUAUCACGUCGAGGAUCAGCAAAGCGGACCCCACCCAUUCAUUUAAGAGGAGCUGGGCCCUUCAAGAGAGACACCAGCAAAGGCCUCC
rnacentral:misc_RNA from 1 species